CAGCAGCCGCGGUAAUACGUAGGGUGCAAGCGUUAAUCGGAAUUACUGGGCGUAAAGCGUGCGCAGGCGGCUAUGCAAGACAGAUGUGAAAUCCCCAGGCUCAACCUGGGAACUGCAUUUGUGACUGCAUGACUAGAGUACGGCAGAGGGGGAUGGAAUUCCGCGUGUAGCAGUGAAAUGCGUAGAUAUGCGGAGGAACACCGAUGGCGAAGGCAAUCCCCUGGGCCUGUACUGACGCUCAUGCACGAAAGCGUGGGGAGCAAACAGGAUUAGAUACCCCGGUAGUCCCUGUCUCUUAUAC
rnacentral:rRNA from 1 species